UACGUAGGGCGCAAGCGUUGUCCGGAAUUAUUGGGCGUAAAGAGCUCGUAGGUGGCUUGUCGCGUCUGCCGUGAAAGCCCAUGGCUUAACUGUGGGUCUGCGGUGGAUACGGGCAGGCUGGAGGCUGGUAGGGGCAAGCGGAAUUCCUGGUGUGAGCGGUGAAAUGCGCAGAUAUCAGGAGGAACACCGGUGGCGAAGGCGGCUUGCUGGGCCAGUUCUGACGCUGAGGAGCGAAAGCGUGGGGAGCGAACAGG
rnacentral:rRNA from 1 species